rnacentral:tRNA from 1 species
GACUGCGUAGUUCAACGGAUAGAAUAGGAGUUUCCUAAACUCUAGAUAUGGCCGGGCGGCCGGUGCCGGCCGGGGUCGCGAUCGACCGAUUCCCGUCGCGGUCA